rnacentral:rRNA from 1 species
AGUGAACGCUGGCGGUAGGCCUAACACAUACAAGUCGAACGGCAGCACAGUAAGUGUUUGCUCUUACGGGUGGCGAGUGGCGUACGGGUGAGGAAUUCAUCGGAAUCUACUUUUUCGUGGGGGAUAACGUAGGGAAACUUACGAGAAUACCGCAUACGACCUACGGGUGAAAGCAGGGGAUCUUCGGACCUUGCGCGAUUGAAUGAGCCGAUUUCGGAUUAGCUAGUUGGUGGGGUAAAGGCCCACCAAGGCGACGAUCGGUCGCUGGUCUGAGUGGAUGAUCGGCCACACUGGACCGUGGACACCGGCCAGACUACUAGGGGAGGCAGCAGUCGGGAAUAUUGGACAACAGGCGCGAGCAUAAUCCAGUCAUACCGCGUCGGAGGAGACGGCGUUCGGGUUGUAAAGCCCUUUUGUUGGGAAAGAAAAGCAGCAGCCUAAUACCCCGCUGUACUGACGGUACCGAAAGAAUAAGCACCGGCUAACUUCGUG